GGUUUCAACUCUGGACCUCUGACCUUCUGCAUGCUGCAGCCAAAAAGAAAAAAGAAAAAAAUACUAAUAAAAACUUUUCCAGCUGGGAAUUGGAGAUUGGUACUUGUCAUCUGCCUCUACAAGGAUUGACUCAUGAGCAUCUGACCCUCAACACCUCCGGAAAGAGAAGUUCAUGGUGAUCAGAGUGAGACACUCUGCUCUGAGAAAACUGGCAGAACAGGUCUUCAGAUAUUUCCCGGAUGAGGCUUUAUGAGCACAAUUCUCGCAUCUCCUUGUAUCUAGAGAAGCAACUAAAAUCCUUCAGUGGUGACACCUGCUCCUUGUAACUAACAGAAACCUUCUGUAAAAAUGUGUGCUUGGUUGCAUGUAUCUCUCCCCUUCACCAAAAAACAUACGUAGACAUCCCCCUCCCCUUCCAGAGAUUUUCACAGCUAUCUGAAAUGCUGCCUUCCCUGAUUAUAGUGAUUUUGCCCCAAAUAAAACACUCACAACUCUCCUAACACUGUGAAUUUUAAGAAAACUUUUUGUGAGUCUUCUUAGGGCCAUUACACAUGGUAUAUAGAGGUUCCCAGGCUAGGGGUUGAAUCGGGGCUGUAGCUGCUGACCUACGCCACAGCAACGCGGGCUCCAAACCGUGUCUGCGACCUACACCACAGCUCAUGGCAACGCCAGAUCCUUAACCUACUGAGUAAGGCCAGGGAUUGCACCCGUGUCCUCAGGGAUGCUGGUUGGGAACACCACAUGGUGAAUUUUUUAAAGGAAAGAUACAACCAAAACUGAUAAGUCAUAUUUUGAGUAUAUUAUUAAGAUAUAUGGGUGCACAUCAACCUAGAAGAGUUGAUUAUGGUUGUGUUUGUAGAGCUGUUACUGGUUUCAUCUCCAGAUUGGACUGGAAAUAGGUGAUUCUUGUUUUCAGACCUGUAUAGUUAUUCAACAGCUUAGUUACAGUGUAGGGUAUCUAUUUUUAAUUAUAUCUUUGAUGAGAAUGUAAAUAUGGGGGGAGGAAUUCUGAAAGACACACACUGUGCAAUUAACAGGGAAUGGCAUGACCAUUAAGGCUGGUGGCCAAAUCGGACUUUCCUCAUUUGCUGAGCACCCACUAUGUGCCAGAUACUGUUCCUCAGGCUGGAAAUACAGACACGAGAGAGACAAGAAAGACCCUGCUCACAUUCCAGUGGUGGAGACGGAAAUGCAACCGUGAUAAGAUACAAGCAUCUGGAUCCAUCAUGAUGCGUGCGUGCAGCACACUUAGGCAGGGAAGGGGAACAGGGCAUGGGGAGGGGGAGGGAUCCACACCUUCAGGUACUCUGUACAGCGGAAGCCUCACCCAACAGGGGACAUCAAGGCCUGAAGGAAGUGAUGAGGUGGGGUGAUCUGGGGGAUGAUCCUGUGAGGAUCACGUCCUGUGGGCCUCUUUCUCAUGUCACAGGGUUAAGUCAUUUGGACAGCGACACAUAGGUGUUCACCUUCCCGUUUUGGAGCAGGAGGUGCAGUGAUGUAUUUUGUCAGUAGGGAGCUGGUCAAUUUAGGGCCGGGAUUUACCUUGGUGAUUUACAUCAUACGCAUAUACGAAGACCUUUGCCACUCUGAAUAAAUCGAGGCUCCAGCCGUGCAUACUAAGUGUGCGCUCCUACAAAAUGGAUCUUUUUGGAAGAAGAGUAUAGAUUGGUCCAAACAGAAUAUCUUAAGUGGCUCAGUCCAGUUUUGUUAAGUUGUUGACAGCUACGUGGGUGACAGUGCUGAACUAGACCCCAGACCCCAGCUGUCACUUGCCCCUUGUGCUGGGACACCCAUCCCUCAUUGGAAUGAAUCAGUUAGAAGUGGGAGCACGUUUCUGUGCCCGUGGCUAUAGGGUUAAGAGGUUAUUUAUUUCACUCAUCUCUGGGUCAGUAGUUUUGGUCAGCAGAAAGGCUGAUCAGUAUCUCUGAGCACCAGCCUAAAUCCCAGCAGAUCACAGUAUGAAGCGCCUAAAUGGUCACAGUGGCUUACAUCACAAUGGGGUGGCCAGUAUGAAAGUCCAGACCACUGUUUAGGCCUAGCCUUACUUCUCCUGAGGGUAGGCAGUGGCUGGCUGGGUUUCUUUGUAUAGAGCUAGAAAAAGACGGGUGUUUUUCUUUCUUUCUUUCUGUCACGCUGAAUUCUUCCGCAGGGAAAUUAAUUUGUGUCUGUGGCAAAGGUAGUCAACAAUUCUCUCCUUUUGCAGGUCCCAGUUUGUUAAGGAAAUCGAAGGGUGUGAUCAACAGCUCGUGCACUGCCGUGCUGCGAACCCAGAGUUCAGGCACUGACGUGGCGCUUCUGAUGGGUCCAAAAGUGAAACUGUCUGACAACCACAGAUUAACAGAAGGACGACAUACAAAUUUAUUUGAUGUUUUAUGUGACAUGGGAUCCUUUACAUGGAAAUGAAGACCUGAUGAAACAGACUUGGGUAUUUUAUGCUAGGUUUGAUAAAGAGUGGACAAUCACGGAAGACUAUGAUAGGUUAAGAAGUAUUAGGUAAUUGUAGUAAAUGGGGAUCAUCUUAACAAAAUCUAUUUUUUUUUCAGAUUAUUGACAUCCUUUCUAAUUCAGAGAUAAAGUUGCUCCUUUCCUCCCAGUAUAGGGAGAGUGCCUGUCACAUGAGGGUUUUAUUACCUGUUUCAGGGGAGAAAGACAAGUGAGGGAGAAGGUCAAAGACACCAGUCUGUUUCUGCCUUUUCUCAAACUCCCUUCAGCUUAAAAUACUAAAUGUCAGUGUGCCAAAUGGUAAAUGUCCUGAACACCAUCAGUGUACUUUACUACAAUAAAAUAAGUGACAAAU
rnacentral:lncRNA from 1 species